GAACAUGCUGGGCGGUGGGGGAGGGGGAUUCAUCUGAGGCCGAGCAUGAAGAGAACACAAAUCUAAGCGGGAAGCGGGAGUUGCUGCUACAAGAGGAGGCGCGGAAUCAGCCGCAGGUCCAGGCCAAGGGUACGGCACGAGUUUCGCCGCCGGGAAAAUCCAGCGUCGGGGCACAACGCGCAUGGCCGUCGGCCAUUGUACGGAUUCAGCACAGGCCAGACUAGGAACGGGGUUGGGGCAGCAAUAGCUGUCAGGUGUUCAUAUUUAAGCCGUCCUCAUGCAGGUCGCCCUCAACCUUGGAGCUCCACCAGCUGAGAAGCUUACCAAGGGGAACUUCCUCCUAUGGAAGGCCUAGGUCAUGCCCGCCCUGCGAGGAGCGCAGGUGACAGGGCUCCUGGAUGGAACCGACGCGGUGCCCCCUACCAAAGUGGAGCAGCAGCAGUCGGACAAGACCAUGGUGGCGGUGCCCAAUCCGCUCUAUGCGCCAUGGAUAUCAAAGGACCAACAGGUCCUCAGCUACCUGAUGAACUCCCUCUCGAAGGAGGUCCUCAUCCUGUUCACGGGUAAGGAAAGUACAUUUGAUCUAUGGACCGGCAUCACCACCCUCUUUGCAUCGCAGUCUCAGUCCCGCAUC